rnacentral:rRNA from 1 species
CCUACGGGAGGCUGCAGUGGGGAAUUUUGGACAAUGGGCGCAAGCCUGAUCCAGCAAUGCCGCGUGAGUGAAGAAGGCCUUCGGGUUGUAAAGCUCUUUCAGUUGAGAAGAAAAGAUUGUAACUAAUAAUUGCGAUCCAUGACGGUAUCAACAGAAGAAGCACCGGCUAACUACGUGCCAGCAGCCGCGGUAAUACGUAGGGUGCGAGCGUUAAUCGGAAUUACUGGGCGUAAAGGGUGCGCAGGCGGUUCUGUAAGUCAGAUGUGAAAUCCCCGGGCUUAACCUGGGAACUGCGUUUGAAACUACAGAGCUAGAGUGUGGCAGAGGGGGGUGGAAUUCCAUGUGUAGCAGUGAAAUGCGUAGAGAUAUGGAAGAACAUCGAUGGCGAAGGCAGCCCCCUGGGUCAACACUGACGCUCAUGCACGAAAGCGUGGGGAGCAAACAGGAUUAGAUACCCCGGUAGUC